rnacentral:lncRNA from 1 species
AAUGUGGAAAGAGCUCCAUCUUUCUGAGCUCCCACACUUUCUAAUGCUCUCCCUGAUCAGGGAUAGAAGCAAUGAGGUACACCCCUCAUCUCCUUUUCAUCUGCUUCACCUUAGCCUCUCAAUGGCAAGGUUAAGAGCGACAUUUACCCUAUUACAGUUGGCCUCAGUGCCUAACCCUCUUGUAUGAGCCCCCUUGUCUGGCUAUAGAGUGUGCUGUUUGAUAUUCAUUG